CCUACGGGCGGCUGCAGUGGGGAAUAUUGGACAAUGGGCGAAAGCCUGAUCCAGCCAUGCCGCGUGUGUGAAGAAGGCCUUCGGGUUGUAAAGCACUUUCAGUGGGGAAGAAAGCCUUGGGGCUAAUACCCUCGAGGAAGGACAUCACCCACAGAAGAAGCACCGGCUAACUCCGUGCCAGCAGCCGCGGUAAUACGGAGGGUGCGAGCGUUAAUCGGAAUUACUGGGCGUAAAGCGCGCGUAGGCGGUCUGAUAAGCCGGUUGGUAAAGCCCCGGGCUCAACCUGGGAACGGCAUCCGGAACUGUCAGGCUAGAGUGCAGGAGAGGAAGGUAGAAUUCCCGGUGUAGCGGUGAAAUGCGUAGAGAUCGGGAGGAAUACCAGUGGCGAAGGCGGCCUUCUGGACUGACACUGACGCUGAGGUGCGAAAGCGUGGGUAGCAAACAGGAUUAGAUACCCCAGUAGUC
rnacentral:rRNA from 1 species